UAUGGAUAUAACUGGAAAACUGAAUGAAAUGGCUGGCUUUGCUCCUGGUGAAGAAAUAGAACUAUUUGAGGUUUGCUGCUGAAGGAAAUCAAGUUUGAGCCAUGUGUAAUGUGCGAACACCUGGAUAAGAAAACUUCAUUCAAACUAUGUCAAAUCGAAGAUGGAGAUAUCAUUUGCUUUCAGAA